rnacentral:rRNA from 1 species
GACGUAGGGGGCGAGCGUUGUCCGGAUUUAUUGGGCGUAAAGAGCUCGUAGGCGGCUUGUUGCGUCAGCUGUGAAAACCCGCAGCUCAACUGUGGGCUUGCAGCUGAUACGGGCAGGCUUGAGUUCGGUAGGGGAGACUGGAAUUCCUGGUGUAGCGGUGAAAUGCGUAGAUAUCUGGAGGAACACCGGUGGCGAAGGCGGCAUCCUGGACCGACACUGACACUGAGGAGCGAAAGCCAGGGGAGCAAACGGG